GAGCAUUAGUGACGAUCUUCAAAAACUCUCGCGAUUCUUCACUCAGCGUUUUCAAGUUGAUUUCAGAAUCAAUUGAUUGUGGUAUUUAGUGAUUUUGCCUUCAGAAAUUUGACUUACGGUAAAUAUUAACUUUGAUUAGGGUUUUGAUUUUUCUAAUUUGAGGUUUUGUAUGUUUAGGAUUUGAUAUUUCUGAUUUGAUUUUAAUUUGAUUUUCGCUUUGAUUAGGGUCUUCCUCAUGUCCAAUUCUUGCAUCUCAAUGACUGUUGCUGCAUCUCCUGUUGGAUCUACCAGCAAUUUUCACACUUCGUGGACCAUAGGUUGGUGUUCCUAUAUUGCAAUACUUUACUUCCUUAUAGCUUUUAUAUACAAAUUGAGGAUUUUAAUUUGAUUCAUGCUUAAUNNNNNNNNNNNNNNNNNNNNNNNNNNNNNNNNNNNNNNNNNNNNNUCUUAGGAGAAUUUGAAUAAAUUUAUUAUGCUUUAGGAGAUUCAGUACUAAAUUGUCCUUAUCAAAUAUGCUACAAUUUGGUAUGAGUCACAUAUUAACUGAAGUUAUUAAUUGAAGUUAUUUCCUGCGGCAUGUGCAUUUUUAAGUGAGGCUAACUUUGAUGUUAGUAGCAGUAAGUGGUUUCAUCAUUUUAGUGAGGCAGAGGCUAACUUUGAUGACAAUUUUAUUUUUGAGUUGUAGAAGCUGCUCAGAGAUGUCAAUGUGAGCCUCUAAUUUCAACAACUCUUCAAAUUUAAAGCAUUUAACAUUGGAGUGUUUCCACAGUCUUCUCUAAUAACUUGAAAACCUUAGCCAUAAAAAGUCCUUAUUUCUUUUGUCUCCCACUUCGCCCACACUCGUUUAGUUCUCCAACUUCAUCUCUUCUUAUUUCUCCUUGCAUCUUUAUCCUGUUUGUCAUCUCCAUCAUAAAAAACUCAAGGUAAGGACUCUGGUUCUUCUAACUUUUGUUUUUUUUAAGAUUUGGUUCACUAGUUUAGAGAGAAUCAGAAUUGGAUUGUUUGCUCAUUUCUUUGCUUUUGUGUUUAUGCCUUUAGUUCCUAUUAGUUUUGAUAAUAAUGUCUCUGUUGUGUUUGAUAGAAUGCUUUAAUAAAGAUAGUAACAUGUUUGCAAAUUAUUGUCAUGUGCACGGAAUAAAAUACCUUCUUCAAAUUAUUGAUUGUUCGACACAGGCAGCUCAGAUUCAUAUGUGCUAAGUUUCUAAAACCGAUUUGAAUUUCGUAACUAUUAAUAUUUUGAUGUCAACUGAAUGAUGCCUUCAGUACUCGUUGGGUUCUUCUGUGAUAGUUCGCAUUUAGUGUUCAAUAAAUGCUAUAAUCUGUUUCACUUGUAAUUCUGUUUCAAUCUAUGUUGUAAACUGUACCAAAAACAAGUCAUAUCGGUUACUCUCUUGUAUGCUUUCACAGGGAAUCAUGUAUGCAGUCAUGAAUUUAAAGACCUACAUUUGAGGGGAUUUAUUUUGAUGGCUAAAUAAAUUUGCAUUUUUUUUGUAAUGUGGAUCAAAAUUCUGCCUCUGUUUAUGAACAUAUUUAUAAUUUGAACUGUGAAAAAAAAAAAUGAAAUGUAG
rnacentral:lncRNA from 1 species